UACACCUGGAUGGUUUUACAAUAGUCCGUCAUGUGCCACAUCUACCAUGGACAUACUGGAGAUGAAACUCAGUAUGUCCAUCUGUGCUCUAGGACCACAUGCAGUUCUUUUGACUGUUCCUUUUGCAACCGCUUUCAACAAGUCUUACUGCCAAGCUGUGAGGGUGCACAUGAUGCUCUUUGGUGAGGAUGUCUGGAGAUACACGAUUGUUCUCUUCACAAGAGGAGAUUGGCUUGGAGAUACCACAGCAGAGGAGCGCAUUGAGAGUGAAGGGGAAGACCUGAAGUGGCUCAUUGAGAAGUGUGGAAACAGGUAUCACACAUUCAACAACAAGAAUAGAACAAAUGAAACCCAAGUGAACGAACUCUUAGAAAAGAUAGAUGAGAUGAUAGCCAGCAACAGUGGCUGCUGUUAUGAGAUGGAUCGAGAUAUUGCCAUGGAAAAUUCUGGAAAAAAGAAGUCAAUAGAGGAAAAUGCUGAAAAACUCGUAGCUAACAGUGACAAAAUCAGGGCAGUUCUUAAGGAAUUCUAUAAAGGUAAGCAUUUUUUUCCACAACUUUCAAUUGUCUUUAAUGGUGCACCCUUUCCAUUAAAGGAACACUUCACUGUUUUUUCAUAUUAAACUACGUUAUUCCCUUAACUAAGACGAGUUGAUACAUACCUCUCACGUUUCAAUAUGUGCACUCACUGGCUCUGGUGUGCGGCGCUACUUUGAUAGCACUUAGCUAGCCCAGUUCAUUCAUUAGGAUCCAAACAGAGAUUAAGUUAGAAGCGACCAAGCACCUCCAUGUUUUCCCUAUUAAAAUACAGUUACACGAGUAGUCACACGACCAAGUAUGGUGAGACAAAACAAAACGUGGUGCAUUUCUAAGCAGGUAAGAGGGAUAACUAUAUUGUGUAGUGGAAUAACACUUGGGAGCACUUCGACUCGGCGCAGUAAUAUCCUCACUCCAAAGUGAAACUGAAAGUGCAAGAGUGAUGAUAAAAAAUAAUUAGAUUAUGAUAAAAUAAAAUCAAACAAAAACAAAGUGCCAUUUGCUAAUAGUAGGAGAAUGUGUACAUUUAUUUACUACACAUUGUUUUCUGAGUGGUGAAGUAGGAAGUAACGUUAGGAAUCCAUGAUCAAUGUGAUUGGGCUGGACCAAUGAUUUCAAAGUUAAUGCAAAGUCUACACCCGUCACUGUUGGAAACAUAUCCUAAUCAUAAGUCCCCAAACCCUUUCCUUUUCGUUUUUCAGAGACCGAGAUGCUUACAAGGUAUAAUCAUUAUACCUACCUUGUAAGCAUCUCGAUCUCUGAGAAAACGAAAAGGAAAGAGUACAAUGUAUAACUUUUUAGGCUGGUGUCAGGGUGAAAACUGAUUGUAAACUCCAAAAGUUGAUAUAAAGAAAGCAAAGCUUUCCUGUAAUUACACAUUAGACAACAUAAGGUCAGAAACACAGUUUCUCUGAGCAAACACUUGUUCUUCUCGGUGCAAGAGAAUCAGGGAAAAGUGCUGCUGGCAAUACAAUUCUCAUGGCACAAGCAUUCCAGUCUGGCCUCACUAAGACAUUCCAAAAUCCCCGUGGGACCAGAAAAUGUCUCCCAUUUCAGACACAGAUUUUUAAAAAGAAUGUCACAGUGGUUGAUACACCAGGCUGGUACACAUCGACCAAUGAUGCAUCUGUUCUGGUGGAAGAAGAGAUUGCACGUGGUGUGUCUAUGUGCUUGCCAGGUCCACAUGGUUUCCUAUUGGUUAUUCCUGCAAACAAGCCAUUUACAGAGGAAGACAAGGAAGUCACAACCAAGUACAUGAACAUCAUUGGAAAGAGUGUGUGGAAACACACCAUAAUUGUGUUCACAUAUGGAGAUUGGCUCGGAGAGAGAUCAGUUGAGGAGUACAUUGAGAGUGAAGGCAACAAACUUAAGUGGCUCAUGGAGAAAUGUGGCAACAGGUAUCACAUUUUGAACUGCUAUGAUAACAGAGAGUCUCGACUGUCUCAGGUCAGUGAGCUGUUGGGGAAGGUAGAUGAAAUGAUCGUUAGAAACAGAGGAAAAGUAUUCUGUCCAGUGGCAAAGCUGUCAUCGCCAUUUAAUUGGUUUCGGAAAAACACUUUCACGGAGGAAGAAUGGAUCAAGCGAGAGGAUGACCUCAUAGAGAGACUGCUGAAAGCUAUGGUCGCAAAACCAGACAAAAAACCAGUAGAGGCCAGAGAUGGAAGCUUUGUCUUCGAUUUCCCAAACAUGAGAAGAGAGACUCGUUCAGUAUUUGGGAUGCCAGCCAGUCUUGGAUCAGCAAAAGUGCCCUUGUUGCUCAAUUAUGGAUCAUCAACAUCAUCAUCAUCUGGUUAUUACAGCAUGGGUACAACACCGAGUGUCAGAGAAGCUGAUGCCAUGAGUGAAAUGGAAUCCAUUGAAUAGCCCAUUGCUUAGGAAUCAGACUCACAAAAAUGUCUAAAAGCAUCCUUCAUCAGAAAUUAUAUUGCUCACGGAAGUCCUCUAAAAAUCAUGUUGCAUAUAAAUCAACACAGGAGAAAUUCCUUCUAAGCAGAGGAAUAAUACUGAAUUUGUAAACAGACAUUGUUUCAGAACUGAGUGCUGUACAGUAUCUGCACAAAAUACUAUAUGUAUCUUAAUUUUAAAGCCAAGUUGUUGGCUGUGUUCCGAUUUGAUAUGUGUUUUAAUCAAUGUUGUGUUUAGGUGUUUUAAAGGGACACUUCACCGAUUAGCAUUAAGCUUUGUAUCUUUAGAAAACCAGUCAUGUUUUUGAAUGGCCGUGCAACAUUCCCUCAGUUUGCCUUGAGACGGUAGAAAUACGGUUUUCAAUGUUGGACUUCCUGCUUUCAAUGAUGUAAAAAUCGUCAUUUUACAUCAUUGAAAGCAGGAAGUAUAUAUAGUAUAUAUAAGUAUAUACCUAUAUCUUUGUCGAGUAGAUGAAACUACAAACACUUUCCUCAUUUUUCCAAGAGGGGGGCGCUAGCGGUGGGACUUCACUUGCAGAAACUAAAAUAUAUAGCCGCCAUCUUUUUUGGCAGCGGUCUGUGGAGAAAGCUGAUAAGUAACUACGAUUUAAUAUUAAAUACUAAUUCAUUGAAUGCUGAUAUUGAAACUGAUAUGGCAAAUGGGAAUUCUGAAGAUCUGGUAUGUGAAUUUGAUGCACGAGAUGACCUGUACGAGCUGUAAUCUGGCUGUAAUACAGCAUAGAACAUCAAGGCCUCCAUCAAGGCCUGCAGCAAGCCUGGACGGCGAUUAGGAUCAUUGGCUGUCGAUUAGCCUUUGCCUGGGCUAGCUCCGGCUAGCUCAAACUAGAUUGGACUAGCUCUCACAAGGUCAGUUAUCCUAAUGUUAUUCACAAGUUAUUGCACUUAGCGAUACUAAUACUUGUUAAAGGUCGGGUAUUCUAGCAUAUGCUGUCAAUUUGCGGGACAUUUGACAUGGAAAUAUGUUAAUUAACGUUUUGGUUUUUUUUCGCGAUUUUUUCGCUAAUUCCUUUUGAAGACCAGCAACAUUGAUAUAUGGCCACAAGAUUGAGUACAACAUAAAACAAUGAUCGUUUUAAUUUUAGAAUCGUUAUUAAUGCCAAAAUGUUACAUUAAUGAGUCCUUCUGUCUACUUCCUGGUGGGUGCUGGUAAGGCAGUGAAAGGCAGGGAAUUCUGGGAGUUGCUGGAUUUUAUCCACAUGACCCAAAAAUAGAUUUUCGGCUUUUUUCUCCCAUCUCAGGGGAAAAUGAGGAAAUGAUGCACGACCAUUCGAAAAUAUGACUGGGUUUCUAACAAUAAAGAGCUUAAUGUAAAUGGGUGAAAUGCUCCUUUAAUUAUUUAAUGUAAACAUUUUUAAACUAUUACCCUUCAUGCUUUAUGUACCAUUACUUUUUGCUUGUGAUUAUGUAAAGGACAUUGAAUUAUGAUAAAUGUGGUGCACUGGCUGAUCAAUGUGGCUGGUUCUGUUCUUCUGUCAUUACUAUUAAUGAGCCUGCACUGCAGGACAUUGCCCCUUUCAUUGUUAUGUAAAAACUAUGGACGAUGUUCUGGAGAUGUUGAAUUGAUUAUGAUAUCAUUUCAGGAAUUCAAUGUUUCUCUGUGUUGAGAUAAUAACAACAUAGUAUCUUCUAUUGAUACAUUAGCUAGCUUAUGUGAUUAUGUCUGUUGGCAGAAAGUUGACGGUGUCAUAUUAUAGCUAGCUGGCUAAAGUUACGGAACUUGUGUUUGUCAGUCUGCUCCAGAUCAUCUCCAUACAUUUUGUAUUACCGGUAUAUAAAACAACUCCAUAAUAUCAGGUUGUCAUUGUUUCUGAGUGUUUUGCGCUAAUAUUUUGUCUCCUGGUGGAUAUUUAAUAUUUGUUAACAUCAUUCACUGAUAAUGGUUCGUGGAAGUCUUUGAUUGACAGGGCUGACCCCUAAAACGGACUGUAUAGAAUCUGCCUGCCUUCGUGGAAGUAUCACAUGCUUUUUUGACUAGGCUACAGUAUCUGUUCAAAA